rnacentral:rRNA from 1 species
ACGUAGGGUGCGAGCGUUAAUCGGAAUUACUGGGCGUAAAGCGUGCGCAGGCGGUUGGGUAAGACAGGUGUGAAAUCCCCGGGCUUAACCUGGGAAUUGCAUUUGUGACUGCCUGGCUAGAGUUUGUCAGAGGGGGGUGGAAUUCCACGUGUAGCAGUGAAAUGCGUAGAGAUGUGGAGGAACACCGAUGGCGAAGGCAGCCCCCUGGGCCGAUACUGACGCUCAUGCACGAAAGCGUGGGGAGCAAACAG